AGAUUCAGCGAGAUGCACUGCUAUAUAUGUAUGUCACCGAGGUGGUGUGGUGCACGGAGAUCCGUUGUAUGCUGGAGCCGUUAAAUAUUAACAACGUACCGCGGAUGUUUUUACCGGAAUGACGCCCCGCGAGUGACGGGCCCAUGUGUCGCGGACGCUCGGACGGCAGCUAGACGGCUGCGCGGCCGUGCUCGGCCCGGCUCGGGACGAGUCGCGAGUAAAGCGAGAUAUGUGGACGCGGCCAUGUUUCCCGCUAGCAGAAAUCCUAUCCAUUAAUAAUUCGCGUUAAUCGUGGUGGUCACGAAUCGUGCGGAGCGUGCAGGAUGCCGAAAUGCGACGUGAAGACAAGAUAUCUGCCAGCUACGUUCGCGUGGACGGUCCUACUCGGCACCACGGCGCUCUUCUUCAUCUUCCCGUGCUCGAACUAUUAUGUCUCUCGAUGGGGCUUGUGGGUACCGGCUCUGCAAGGAGUCAUCACUUUCUUCGUGGUGAUAAACUUCUCACUGGCGACGUUUAUGGAUCCCGGUGUUAUACCGAAAGCACCUCCUGACGAAGAACGUGAGGACGAUUUUCGAGCUCCCUUGUACAAGAGUGUCGAGAUCAAUGGCAUCACUGUACGUAUGAAGUGGUGCGUCACCUGCAAGUUUUAUCGACCUCCACGUUGCUCGCAUUGCAGUGUCUGUAAUCAUUGUAUCGAGACAUUCGACCAUCACUGCCCAUGGGUGAACAACUGCAUCGGUAGGAGGAAUUAUAGAUAUUUCUUCUUUUUUCUCCUAUCGCUCAGUUUUCAUAUGCUCAGUAUAUUUGGGCUUUGUUUAUACUAUGUACUGGAACAUAAACAGCAACUGAGUGAAGUUAAUACUAUCGUUGCACUCGUACUCAUGGGAGUGGUAGUGCUCUUAUUCAUUCCAAUCUUUGGACUGACCGGCUUUCAUGUAGUCCUCGUUUCCAGAGGGCGAACCACUAAUGAACAGGUAACAGGCAAAUUUAAUGGGGGCUACAAUCCUUUUUCACGUGGUUGUCUACGCAAUUGCUGUUAUACACAGUUUGGACCACAAUACCCAAGGUAUUGCAAGGAGCCAAGUUUACUUAAGCCUGACAAAUAUUCGGGAAAGCGACGUGGAGCUUGCGCAUCAGAGAUAUCUACUAUAGGCAGUGAGAACCAGGUAAAGACCUACAUGGAUAGCAGCAAUGGUGUUAGAAAUGCCAGUUCAAAUGCUUACAAUAAGUUAUCUCCUGGACGAGAUGGAUCGGAUACGGAUAUGGAACCGACGGCGUCUCAAUCCGCGGACUGUGAACCUACGCCUCCGUUGCAAAGACACGGUUCCAAAAGCAAUUUUUUCCUGCCACCUGUGGAGAAUAGUGAAUCUCCCAGGCAUCCUCCGCCAUCGCAGCUUCGCCAUCCACUGCAUUAUCCUAGAGGCAGUCCACAUCCGAGGCCAAGAGGGAUAAACGGAUCUCGAAGUCAUACACCCGAUCCAUUAUCACCAGAGACGAGUGGAUCGCCCGCCACAGUCCCUCAACGUGGUCAAGGUCCGGGUGGCGCAAGUCCAACGAUGCAACAACGCAUCAAAGCUAUUGGGGUACCUACUCCGCUUGCCAUAUCCAGUCCUAUACGAAGAUCAAACCCAGGUACACCGACGCAGGUUCGUCGGCCGGAUUUCAUAGGCGUGAGCGAAGCGCCGACGUAUUACGAUGUACAACAGGGAAACAAUACACAAGGAAUAAGCGUUGCUAGUGCUGUCGUUACUGGCUACAGUCCGCAACGGCGUUUUCUCUCGGAAAGCGAGCUUGUGCGACAAGGCACUGAUCAUCCGUAUUCGAGAACCAAUAACACAACGGUCGACAACAUACGCGAGUUGGCGGGUUCGCCGCAACGCGGUGUUUACAUGUGGAAAGACAACUCGCCUGGCAGCUAUCCUACUGCCGCCGGUGUAGGAGCGAUGAGCGGUGCGCCCCAUCAAUCGCCUUCCCAACGGCCGCCCCCGCCCUAUGACUAUUAUCGCUCGAAUCCCACAAGCCCGACAACUCAGCAGUACGCCACGAACGCACCCAGAGCGGCAUAUCAUCCAGCUGUGAGGGGUGGAGUGCCAGUCUUCCCGCCACAUCAGUCGCCGCAGAUUAAGCGGAAAGCGGCUACGAUGGCGACACCCACCACACCAACAUCAUCGGGAGACGCCCGGCGUCGACCGAUGUCCUUCGUCAGAGCCCUCGAGAUGACUGACUCGAUGGAAAUGGUUUCGGCGCCUAAUGAUCCGAGAUCGUCGCAAAGACCAACGACACCGACACCGGACCGGGCGAGCGUAUACGACAUGAACUACGAAAUAUCCGUAUAGCCCAGCUUUUCCGUCUCCGUGCCAUCCUGCGGCUGGACGGAGAUUCUACGAGAGCCGCCGAGCAGUCUACGUAUCUCACGCUCCAAUGAGGAAAGAAUGUACAGUACCGUUUACGAGAUAUCCGUCUGAAUUCUUCCGCGAUCGAUGCAUUUAGGUCGCGCUUAACGUAAAAUUAACGUUAAAUUAAAACGCAAGCCGUGGUUGGUCCUUUUAUUAUAGCCGUGGGAUCGCCGUUAUUCUUGGAACUUACCGCAGUAAUCAGGCUACAUCAGGCAAUUGUAUAUCUGGAUAAAUCGCUAUUAGUGAUGUGUUGCGUGUGUGUGUGUGUGUGCACGAAUUAUUUUGAGAUUGACAGUAUGUGUAGAAAUAUAUAUAUAUUUAUACAUAUGUGUGUAUAUAUAUAUAUAUAUAUAUAUAUAUAUAUGUAUGUAUGUAUAUAUACAUAUAUAUACAUGUAUAUCGCACUCACUUUCAGCAAGAAAGUCGGUUCAUCGAUAUCUUCGCUGCAAACGAUUCAUUGUGUGAAUUUAUAUGAAGCAAAGUAAAUAUAUGCGCGAUGAAUCUUUGUUUUUUCGAUUCUUCCUUCGGCAUUGGAAUCUUACAACAAUACGACGGUAGAGAAAGCUUGCAUUUUACACAAAAACGUACCAACAUGCAAGUAUUUUGUCGUGUUAUGUAACAUUAUCGAUUUAGUCAUUGUUAAAUUGGAAAAGAUGUAGAUUUUGGAAAAGAAAUAGAUUCCAGAUGCAUAGCAGCAAAACAUGUCCGUUACGUCAACAAUAACAGUGUUCGGUCUGACUGACGAUCCGAAUUAACGAGUCGUGGAGACGUCAACGAAAGUAUAUCCCGAGCGCACAGAGGUUAACCUUUAUUGGAAUCAUCACCGAUAAAUCGGCCCUCUCGCUUGACAGAAGCAAUAUUUUUUAGUACACGUUUAAGAAGAAUGGAAAGUACACACAGUCCUAGUUUCUCAAAUAUAAUGUAUACAGGGGUGGCUGUUUAUAUGCGCGUGAAUAUAAAAAAUAAAAACUAUUUUAAUUUUGUUAACAAAAAAAAAUUGUAAUAUAUGCAUUGCAUAAAUCAUUGCUGCAUCCAUUGCUACUGUUAAAUUUAUGAUGCACCCCGCUUUUGAAAUUGCAUGACGGUUUCUCUAUUGUAUAUGUGUAUGAGAAGCCAGUAUUAUAUUAGUUAUAUUAAAUUAAUACAGACUGCAACGUGAUAUUAAUUGAAAUUUGCGCACGCAUUCGUUUCACAAUGAAUUUGUGCGGAAUUGACUUGAUGUUACACACAGCACAUAUCAUUUCGAGACAACGUCAGACAUCGAAUAUUUUAGAUUGAAGAAACUUACAUUUGGCAGAUAUAAUGACUGUUCGAAAUAAUAUUACGAGGAUUAUAAGCAUUUCUUCCGUAUUUCUGCUAAGCUAUAUUUAGAAUUCAUUUAACGCGGAAACUCUCUUUAGAUCCUGUUUUCAUUAAGAUAACAAACUGUGCCAAAAAUUUCCUGUACUCUUCAAUCGUGUAGCCUUGCUUAAAAUAGCAUUUAACGAGACAACGGUACAAUGUUACGAAUUGACUAAGGUAAUAAUGUGUAAGGUAUGACGAGUGUUAAAUGUUUAUAAUUCGGUGUACUUGUACAUAUAACAUUACUUCUCUAUCACUUAAAUGUACAUACAUAUACAUUCGGUACUUACGUAUCGCCGCAGCAAUCUACAGAAUAAAAAGUCAUGGAACAUAGUAAAUUGUACUGUGUUGUAUCGUGGCAAUAUUUUUGAUGCAAUA
rnacentral:misc_RNA from 1 species